ensembl:lncRNA
CCCCCCCAUCCCCACUGGCACUCAUGCCAAUCAGGGAAAGAAUGACACAACUCUCAGAAGCCUCCAUACAAGGACCAGUCCACUGUCUAUACCCCUGAACACCAUAGCAAAGACAUAGCAAAGACAAGAGAAACGUGCAGAAAACGGGGGUCAAGUGGAAAAGAUGUACCUUCCGUGAUGGAUCAAAUUCCACUAGAAAAAACAUCAGCUUUGCACAAUAGGCAAUAAUAUUGUAAUCCGAAAUGUACAGCAUUUUCUCUUCUAUUUUGGUGUGGCGGUAUCUCUUCUGGUUUGUAUUAGUGGCACUUGGAAAGAACGUGUAAUAUAUCAAAAUAUGAGAAGGACAGUCUAUCAUUCCUUUUAUUGACUUUCCCCUUAAGUGAUGUAGUAUUCAUCCAUUCCUGAUGGACAUGGACUCUUAGAUCUGGGAACAUCACCACCAGUUCUGUGGCCUGUUUCUGUACCUUCUCUUUUUAAAUUUUUUGAACUCACAAUUCUCCACAUUGCUGUAUAUCAUCCUUCGGAGAUGAGCUACUGAGGAAGGCUUCACUCACAAAUAAGCUUCUGGGGUGAGAGCACAAGACCACCAAUUUCAUGGAUGGAUUGAGAAAAGACUGCAAGGCAAAUCAAAUAUUACUUUCAUUCCAAUGAAGACUGUCAAUGCUUGGAUUCUUGAAUAUAAAAAAGUAAACUAUGUUGAACUGUUAAGUUGAAAAAAUGACUUCUGUGAACUAUUUUACAUGUAUAAAAAAAAAAAUCUGUACAAUUAUGACCAACACAGCUAGUAAAAGCAAUCUUCACAUUUCCUUUAUUUUUUACUUACAUUUUUGCUUUCUAUAAUAUACAAUCAUGUAUUAUUUUAACAGAAACUACUAAAACAUGGAGAAAGUAUGACUGCAAGAUAUCCCUAAAAUAUUAAAUGUAAUCUGUAUUUUUUUCAUUUUUGUCUAGUCGUUUAUUUUAUUAUAUUAUUAUGAGCACUAUUAUUAAUAUGGUCUCUGGCUCUGUUGAAAAUGCAAAUAGUUGUUUUAGGUUAGACAUUUUAAUUUGACAGAUUUAAUGUUUAAAAUGAAUUGAAAGAUUGCUACAUUUCUUUUUGGUUAUCUAUGGAAUAUUUGCCAAAACUAUACACAAAACUACAAAUAUUCAAAUAUAAUUAAAGAUGCUUGCUGGAAAAAUGUAUUAUGGUCGAGUAUUAUUUCUGUGCUGGGUGUGAAAAUACUGCAGCAUUUGUUAUUAUGGUACCUUCUUAUUGUACAUCUUUUUUUAUUUUAUGGCCAUUGUAAUGAGACCACAUGCUGUACAGUCCAGUCAAGUCAAAAGUUCUUUGUACCCUUAAUAAAGGUGAUAAAGG